UUAAGUAGCAAAUGCAAUCGGAUAGGUUUCGAAGCCUCUCUGAGGGAUAAUAGAGGCUCUACUAUUCAACUUCUAAUCGAACACGACCCUAUUCGUGUAGAGUGGUAACAUGUGGAUUCGGACUAGUUCGAAGGGUCCCAAAGGGAACACGGACUAGUUCCAACUCCUCGCACAGAUGGUGGCAUAUGGCGAAUGAGGCGA
rfam:Anopheles arabiensis strain DONG5_A unplaced genomic scaffold supercont1.17, whole genome shotgun sequence.